UACGUAGGGUGCGAGCGUUAAUCGGAAUUACUGGGCGUAAAGCGUGCGCAGGCGGUUUUGUAAGCCAGAUGUGAAAUCCCCGGGCUUAACCUGGGAAUGGCAUUUGGGACUGCAAGGCUUGAGUUUGGCAGAGGAGACUGGAAUUCCUGGUGUAGCAGUGAAAUGCGUAGAUAUCAGGAGGAAUACCGAUGGCGAAGGCAGGUCUCUGGGCUAGAACUGACGCUCAUGCACGAAAGCGUGGGGAGCAAACGAGGAU
rnacentral:rRNA from 1 species